rnacentral:tRNA from 1 species
GCGCGCCACCAGGUCGUGGCCGGUCGCGGUGACCUCCAGGGUCACCACGCUGCGGUUGCGCGGGUCGCGGCCGCGCGCCACGUACC